GACGAACGCUGGCGGCGUGCCUAAUACAUGCAAGUAGAACGCUGAAGGAGGAGCUUGCUUCUCUGGAUGAGUUGCGAACGGGUGAGUAACGCGUAGGUAACCUGCCUGGUAGCGGGGGAUAACUAUUGGAAACGAUAGCUAAUACCGCAUAAUAGUAGAUGUCGCAUGACAUUUGCUUAAAAGGUGCAAUUGCAUCACUACCAGAUGGACCUGCGUUGUAUUAGCUAGUUGGUGAGGUAACGGCUCACCAAGGCAACGAUACAUAGCCGACCUGAGAGGGUGAUCGGCCACACUGGGACUGAGACACGGCCCAGACUCCUACGGGAGGCAGCAGUAGGGAAUCUUCGGCAAUGGACGGAAGUCUGACCGAGCAACGCCGCGUGAGUGAAGAAGGUUGUCGGAUCGUAAAGCUCUGUUGUAAGAGAAGAACGAGUGUGAGAGUGGAAAGUUCACACUGUGACGGUAGCUGACCAGAAAGGGACGGCUAACUACGUG
rnacentral:rRNA from 1 species